AAUUAGCCCUGAUGGAAGGGAAAAUCCUUUUUGAACGCUUUUUCGGCGGGCAAAAAGAUUGGAAUGACAGCAGGACAACUG
rnacentral:snRNA from 1 species